rnacentral:rRNA from 1 species
AACGAACGCUGGCGGCAUGCCUAACACAUGCAAGUCGAACGAGACCUUCGGGUCUAGUGGCGCACGGGUGCGUAACACGUGGGAAUUUGCCUCGGGGUAUGGAAUAACUCAGGGAAACUUGAGCUAAUACCAUAUAAUGUCUUCGGACCAAAGAUUUAUCGCCCUGAGAUAAGCCCGCGUAGGAUUAGCUAGUUGGUGGGGUAAAGGCUCACCAAGGCGGCGAUCCUUAGCUGGUCUGAGAGGAUGAUCAGCCACACUGGGACUGAGACACGGCCCAGACUCCUACGGGAGGCAGCAGUGGGGAAUAUUGGACAAAUGGGCGAAAGCCUGNUCCAGCAAUGCCGCGUGAGUGAUGAAGGCCU